rnacentral:sRNA from 1 species
GGCAGAGGCAGAGGAGGGAGCUAGGAGGUGAGACCCGCUCCACCCUGCUCGCCUAGGCUCGGCGGAGGCUAAGAGCAGGGCAGCCUCCUCUGUCCGGCGCCCGCUGAGCCCCGGCAUCUGGAACUCAGGGCCCUGGCGCUCCAGGGGCGGGAACUGGCCGGGAGGACCGCGCGGGAGAGCACGGAUGGGCACCCUGGGCUCGAUCUUCUCACCUGGGGCGGGUGGGUUCUGCACCACCCUCCCACCCUCCUUCCUCCGUGUGGACGAUAGAGCCACAUCCAGCACCACGGACAGCUCCCGGGCGACCAAAAAGAAGAAUGUACUUCAUCUGGUUGGGCUGGAUUCCCUCUGAUAAGCCUUCCCAGUUGACUGAAAGAUGAGGCUAGGCUCUAGCAAGUUGAAGUCAAACCAGCUCCUUCAAGAAGCUUUGAGCAGAAUGAAGUGGGGAGGACCCAGCUUCCAGCCUAGGAAGCCCACUGUACCUGGAGCCAUCUGGGAUAAGACUUUGACCCAUGACUCCCAUAUCCACAACCUGUCCAUCC